rnacentral:rRNA from 1 species
CGGGAAUUUUGGGCAAUGGGCGAAAGCCUGACCCAGCAACGCCGCGUGAGGGAUGAAGUAUUUCGGUAUGUAAACCUCGAAAGAAUGGGAAGAAUAAAUGACGGUACCAUUUAUAAGCUCCGGCUAACUCAGUGCCAGCAGCCGCGGUAAUACGAAGGGAGCAAGCGUUGUUCGGAUUUACUGGGCGUAAAGGGCGCGUAGGCGGCGCGGUAAGUCACUUGUGAAAUCUCUGAGCUUAACUCAGAACGGCCAAGUGAUACUGCUGGGCUAGAGUGCGGAAGAGGACACCGGAAUUCUUGGUGUAGCGGUGAAAUGCGUAGAUAUCAAGAGGAACACCUGAGGCGAAGGCGGGUUGCUGGGCCGACACUGACGCUGAUGCGCGAAAG